rnacentral:tRNA from 1 species
GGUCUCAUGGUGUAAUGGUCAGCACUUUCGACUUUGAAUCCCGCGAUCCGAGUUCGAAUCUCGGUGAGACCU